CCUACGGGCGGCAGCAGUGGGGAAUCUUGCACAAUGGGGGAAACCCUGAUGCAGCGACGCCGCGUGAGCGAUGAAGUAUUUCGGUAUGUAAAGCUCUAUCAGCAGGGAAGAACAUGACGGUACCUGACUAAGAAGCCCCGGCUAACUACGUGCCAGCAGCCGCGGUAAUACGUAGGGGGCAAGCGUCAUCCGGAUUUACUGGGGGUAAAGGGAGCGUAGACGGCGAUGCAAGCCAGAUGUUAAAGCCCGGUGCUCAACCCCGGGACUGCAUUUGGAACUGUAUAGCUGGAGUGUCGGAGAGGCAGGCGGAAUUCCUAGUGUAGCGGUGAAAUGCGUAGAUAUUAGGAGGAACACCAGUGGCGAAGGCGGCCUGCUGGACGAUGACUGACGUUGAGGCUCGAAAGCGUGGGGAGCAAACAGGAUUAGAUACCCUGGUAGUC
rnacentral:rRNA from 1 species